GCACAAGCGGUGGAGCAUGUGGUUCAAUUCGACGCAACGCGAAGAACCUUACCUGGGCUCGAAGCGUAGUGGACCGGGGUAGAAAUAUCCCUUUCCGCAAGGACUGCUACGUAGGUGCUGCAUGGCUGUCGUCAGCUCGUGUCGUGAGAUGUUGGGUUAAGUCCCGCAACGAGCGCAACCCUUAUUGCCAGUUGCCAGCGAGUAAUGUCGGGCACUCUGGCGAAACCGCCCCGGAUAACGGGGAGGAAGGUGGGGAUGACGUCAAGUCCUCAUGGCCUUUAUGUCCAGGGCUACACACGUGCUACAAUGGUCGGUACAAACCGUCGCAAACCCGCGAGGGGGAGCUAAUCGGAAAAAGCCGACCUCAGUUCGGAUUGGAGUCUGCAACUCGACUCCAUGAAGCUGGAAUCGCUAGUAAUCGCAGAUCAGAACGCUGCGGUGAAUACGUUCCCGGGC
rnacentral:rRNA from 1 species